GAUGAACGCUAGCGGCAGGCCUAACACAUGCAAGUCGAGGGGGAGGUUACUUUCGGGUAACUGAGACCGGCGAACGGGUGCGUAACGCGUAUACAAUCUGCCCUUCACUGGGGGAUAGCCCGAAGAAAUUUGGAUUAAUACCCCAUAGUAUAGUAGUGUGGCAUCACACAACUAUUAAAGCUUAGGUGGUGAAAGAUGAGUAUGCGUUCUAUUAGCUAGUUGGAGAGGUAACGGCUCCCCAAGGCUACGAUAGAUAGGGGUUCUGAGAGGGAUGUCCCCCACACUGGUACUGAGAUACGGACCAGACUCCUACGGGAGGCAGCGUGAGGAAUAUUGGACAAUGGUCGGAAGACUGAUCCAGCCAUGCCGCGUGCAGGAUGAAGGUCUUAUGGAUUGUAAACUGCUUUUGUAAGGGAAGAAUAAGAGCUACGAGUAGUUUGAUGGCGGUACCUUACGAAUAAGCAUCGGCUA
rnacentral:rRNA from 1 species